ensembl:lncRNA
AAAAAACUAAUAAUCAGGCCAGCUGAAAAAUUAAAUGUAAUCAGAUAUGAAUCUAGACUUGUGGUAAAAGUCAAUUUAAACGAUUGUUUAUGAACGAUCGUUCAUGAAAAAAAAAAUGGGUUAUGAUGAAAAAAUGAUUAUUUAUCCCAAUAUGUGCUAAAUGUGAACGAAUUUUAUACAGGCGUAUCUAAAGUCAACUCUCAGAUAACGCGUCAUCAAGUAGCCUACCGAAGUUACCGACGCCAUUUUGGCUCAAACAAACUCCAUUUCACUUACUAGUAAAACAUAUUCGUCUUUUAAAAAAUCGCAUUUUAUACACAAUGCAUUAAAGAGACCGCCGUAAAGUCACUGCGUGCGUCUGCUAAAAUAACUGCUGUAUCUUUUUCUGAAUUGUAAAGUAUUUUUAAUAAUACUGCUUCUAAGUCCUGUGCUAGCAGUCCGCUACGUGUCACCGUUGUUGUGCCCAGAUGAUAAGUUAAACAUCUGGCGAAUGUAAAUAAAAAUGGGUGGAUGCUCCGCUCCAAACUGCUCGAACUCUACAACCAUUGGAAAGCAGCUCUUUCGCUUUCCGAAAGACCCCGUGCGCAUGAGAAAGUGGCUGGUAAACUGUCGGCGUGAUUUUGUACCCACUCCCUGCUCCAGACUGUGCCAGGCAAGUGAACCGCAUGCGAGUGUUAAAUUCUGCAAAAGACAACAAUGAAGUCAUUCUUCUGGCUUCCUUUUUUGUGUAAUCGUAUAUGUGUGCUUUUAUCACAAAGCUUCAUUUCCUUGACUUGCAGGACCACUUUGAAGAAAGCCAGUUUGAGGAGAUCGCCAGAUCACCAGCAGGGGGAAGGAAACUCAAACCCAACGCUAUCCCCACACUCUUCAAUGUACCCGACCCUCCCUCUCCUGUCACCCCCCAAGCAGUGUUACCUGUUAAAAAUGAGCCAGUAGAAAAGGACUUGAACAUGGGGGAUCAUGGAUAUGCCCGCCGACAGCCACCUGUGGAUUCAGAGGAGGAUGGGGUUCAGCGGACAGAUGAGGAGCGACCCUGUUCUCUCUGCCAGCAUUAUAAAACCAAACUGGAGCAGCAACAGCAACACACAGUCAGACUACAGAGAGAGGCAGAGGAGAUGAAGAAACGUCUUUACAAACUGAGUAAAAUAGAGAAGGGGCUACAGGUGUUCCUGUUUGAGGAUCAGAUACGCGCCCUAACAUUGGCCAAGCGUUCUCGGAGGGCAGUGUGGUCCCAUGAUACUUUACUGACAGCCCGUAAAAUCCGCUGCGCAGUGGGGGUUAAAGGAUACGAGUACCUAAGGGAACUGGGCUACCCUUUGCCUUCUUACAGGACGCUGUGUAAUCGCCUGGAGCCCAAAAUGAUGGUGACCACGAGUAUGCAGGACGAACUAGCAGAGCUCGGCCUGGGCAUCAUAACAGCUUGUGACAGUCCAGAGGGCAACGUGACGAGUGAUGAACGACUGAUUGGAGUCAUGACCUGAGACACUGUGUUUGCAAGAAACUGCACUGAUGCUUGACUGUUAAAUCAGCCAAAGCCGGGACUCGCAGGAGAUGUGUGUUUACUGGGUUAAGUUAUUUGGGGUUGUUGUCAUUGCAUUUUGAAACCAUUUGCAUAAAUACCACAACAGUCUGGAGAUGAUUCACUAACUAUUAUGUGUUUUUUUUGUUUUAACAAAAAUAAAUAUUUUGGUCUUGCUGCA